AUCACUGAGUUUAUCAACCUCUACUUUCUCAUUUUACCUCUGUGUUCCCAAGGCACUUCAUGAUUUCUUCAUGGAAAAUAGUGUGUGGCAUAAGAAGGAACACUAAAUUUGGAGUUCAACAUACCUACUUUCGAAUGUUGGCAAAGCUAUUUCCAAAACUUCAUAUCCUAAAUGAAAAUUAAAUUAAGCCUGUUUCCAUAUCUAUAAAAUAUGGCUACCAAUCACAUGGUUUCCGCGUGCGAAUUUAGAGAUAAUCCUUUAAAUGUCCAUGUACAUUGUGUGGAGUACCAAACGGCUUGGUCAAUUACUGCUUUAAUACUUAUCUUGGAUAUUGUACUUAGGGCAAUUUCUAUAAAACAGGAAUCUAAGCUUUUUAGGGUCAAAAAGAUGCCUUUUAAUCUUCAGUACCUGACACAGUAUCUAAAACAUAAUAGAUAAUUAAAAUAAACUAAGACCAGGGUAUAGGCAGCGUAAGACCACAGGAUAAACUAGUCCCCUCCUAUCAGUCUUUCUGAAGCUUGGCAUUAUUUCUAGUCUCAUUUCUAACUGCUUCUCUAUCUGGAUUAAUCUGCAGAUUAAUUAAUUAAGAAGACCUGGCAUGCAUUUAUUAGCUGGAUUAUUUACCUUCCGUUAGUCAAUUCAACAGAGCCAAAUUUAUUGAGUGCCUACUCUGUGCCAGGCUCAGGGAAAAUAAUGAUAAUAAGUUAUUUGUGCUCACAGUCUAGUAGGAAAUAGAAAUAUUAAAGCAAAGAAUUAAAGUUCAAUAUGACAAUUAUUUCUUGACACCUAUGCCUCUCUUCCAACUUACACAGAUUUACCAUUCCCAUGGCACAGCCUCUGUUCAUCCUUGUUUUUGUGAACUACUCUCCAUUUCAUUCAUUUCUGGUCAGGUAAAUUCUAUCCCUAACUCUCAGAGCCAAUAUGCUUUUUUUCAUAUUUUUUUUUAAACAUCAAACAUUUUCAGAGCCAUUAUCUCAUUUUAACAACCCCCAAAAGUGAUAAAGUCAGUGUCACUAUAUUCUUCUGUGACAGAUGAUGAAACUGGAGACUUGAAGGGUUUCUAUGAAUUGCCCAGCCACAUAACUAACAAGAUGCAGAGUUUGUUUUCUAGCUUGUAUCUUUGUGAAUAUGAGUCACCUGAUUAUUAUAAUUUUUAUUAACUGUGAUAACACUGGUUGAUUGUGAUACUGUAUUUUUAUUUUUCAUAUUGAUUUUAGAUUCUAAAAGAGGAAUUUCGAAGAGGUCAAAAAAAAAAAAGCACACAUUCUUGGCCUAGUUCUGAAUUAACUGAAAAAUAAUAUUGAUAUUUAGGAAUAAAACUUUUGGUUUAAAGCCAUCUAGACUUAUUAAUACAGAAGCAAGUAAUAUUGAGGCAACCACUUACACACUCCUGAAGGGCUUCCCCAAGGAGUCACUUCCUAAUAAAACUCACGGCUUGGAGGAACAGAGUAGAUCUUUGAUUCCUACGACUCAUUUCUAAAAGGAGGGAUUAAAAAAGAGACGUGGGUUGCUAUGCAUAGUUUCUCCUUCCAAACCCAAUAAUCAGCUAAGCUACUCAUCUUCUCAGGUGUAAAGAUUACAAAAUUGGUUUAAAAAGGGCCAGAUGUGUUACAUAAAUAGAAACUCCUUCACAGGGAAGAAAAUAUCAUGAGUCGUGAUGAAAUAAUCCCAAAUAACAUUUUCAAGGUUAGGUUCUCUUAAUCUAGUGCUGGUAACCAUAAGGCAACUGCUGACUAGGUAAACUGUCACCCUCUCAAGGGAGGAUAUGGACCGCCUAAAAGAAAGUCUUGCUGACACAUCUUUUUAGGUUCAGUCCCUCACUCAUAUUAACCACUCUUAAAUCUGUUUUCCUUGGACUAAUGUUGAUUGAUAUAUAUUUUUUUCUCUCAGAAAAUUCCAAAAUGUAUCAAAAUAGUAUAUUAGUGAUAUCAGUUUUAAGGCCAUUCUGUACCUAGAUCUGAAAUAUUUACUGUGGUUUUUUAAAAAUAUUAUAUAACAUCUUAUGUUUGGCCACAGGUCCAAUGUUUCUUAUCAGAGGUGCACUGCCAUGGGCUCAAAAGGCAUCAUAAAGUUUCUCAGAAAGAUAACAUACCUAAAAACAAACUCAAUAUUAAAAUUCUAGCAACACUGGUCACAAGCAAUUCCAGAAUGGCAGAAUUUACAUUUCAAAAGUCUGCUGCUUCAUAAAUUAGAACAGUGGAGGAAUGUCAAAAUCAGCUUUUUUCAGAACUCUGAAAAUUAGCCAACGGCUACACCAAUCCAGAAAAUGUUUGUUCAAGAAAAAAAAAAAAAAUCAGUUGAACUUCAAUAAGAUUAGUGAGUUUUGUGGUAUUUCAACUUGCUCUGCAGUGGUCCUGAAAACCAGGAUCCUCAGACCAGGUUAUCUGUGAAAACAUCAGCCUCAAAGACAUUUUUAGAAGCCAAUUAGGUCAAGAGUGCACCAAUAAGUUUCAUUCCCACAGAAUUAUCACAUGAUUUAACAUUUCAGACUAGUCUUUUGAAAUUGCAUAUUCACAGAUCUUAUCUAGAUUUGAUCUAAUUCAGAUAAAUCAGUGAGAAAAACCCUAUUUCCAAGAUGUUUGUCAAAAACAGUGAGCAGAAAUUAACACUGCAGCUACUAAAGCAGGGACAGAAGCUGUGGCAAACAAGAGGCUAGCCAAAAGACUUAAAUGAAAAUCUGAUCAAUUAUAUGUUCAUAGAAAGCUUUGAAAAGCUCUGAAAUAUUCCUAGAGUAUGAGAAAGCUACACACAUGUGCUCACACACAGUGCCACUUGCCAAAGAAUGGGAGGCAUAUUGGCUUAAAAACUUUAGGUAAAGUUCCAUACAGCAAUUAAUUGACCACUAAGCUAAAUGAGCAUUUAGGGUCCAUACAUAACAAGACUGCUAAAGAAUUUAAUAGAAUAUACCCAUUAAAGUCAUUAAAUGAACAGCAACAACCAUAAACUGAGCAACCAAAUAAACCUGGGAAAGACAGGUGAUUGAAUGCAAAUUACUACAUUGUGUUAUUUCAAAUACAUGGUUUUGGAGUUCCAGGAGUGGUUAACAAAUCUGACUAGAAACCACGAGGCUUUGGGUUCAAUCCCUGGCCUCGCUCAGUGGGUUAAGGAUCCAGCAUUGCCCUGAGCUGUGGUGUAGGAUGCAGACAUGGCUCGGAUCCCAGGUUGCUGUGCUGUGGCGUAGGCCAGUGGCUAUAGCUCCGAUUAGACCCCUAGCCUGGGAACCUCCAUAUGCUGCGGGAAGCAGCCCUAGAAAAGGCAAAAAGACUAAAUAAAUAAAUAAAUAAAUAACUACAUUGUUUCACCAAAAGAUAUGAGAGACACAUAUAGAAGCAGUCUCAGACAAAAAUUGAGGGAAAAAAAUUAAAAUAGUCAAUUGGAAGUGUCCCUGAUGAUGCCCAGAAGUCAGAUUUAUUGUCUAGAUAGUAAAUCAGUCAUUUUAGCAUGUUCAAAGAACUAAUGGGAACUAAAGGAAUCUUCUAAAAAAUUAAGAGGAAGUAUGAAAAAAUGUAUAAGCAGAUAGAAAAUAUCAAUUAAGAAAUAAAAAUAUCAAUUAAGAAAAUUUAUUUUAAAAAGAAUCAAAAAGAAAUCAUAGAGUUACAAUGUACAAUAACUGAAACAACAAACAUUUUACUAGAGUAGCUCUAGAGAAGAUUUAAACUGACAGAAAAAAGAGCUAGUGAACUCAAAUAUAGGUCAACUGAAAUUAUGUAGUCUCAAACAAUAAAGAAAAAUGAACAGAGCCUCAGAUCUGUGGGACACUAUCAAGCACACCAACAUAAGUAUAUGAGGUUCAGAAAGAAAGAAGAGAGAAGAAAGACCAGAAGAAAUAUUUUAAAAAUACCCCUAAAACUUCCAAAAUUGGAUUUAAAAAUCAAUGUUAAAAGAUUCUCAAAAAAAUCCAUAUAAGUUUAACUCAAGGAUAGCUACAACUAGACACAAACUGUCAACCCCUCACACCUCAAAAUUUAUUUAGAUCAGAGAAAAGACAAAUACUGUAUGAUCACGUGUAUAUAUGAAAACAAAGGUUAUCAAUACAGAGGAGACGUUGGUACUUACAAGGUAUGGGGGUGGGGAGAUGAGAAAAAUAGUUAAACGUUUUAAAAAUUUUAAGCACACUGAAUAAAAAUUUAAGAAAAGGAAAAUGACUUUCAAUAAUGAUUUUCAUAUCCAGCACAACAAUAUUUCAAAAAUGAAGGAGAAAUUAAUAUAGUCCUAUGUAAAUAAAAACUGAGAGAAACUGUCACCAGCUGGUCUGCCUACCAGAAAUACUAAAAGAAGUAUUUCAGGCUAAAUUGAAAGAGCACUAGGUUAUAAUUAGAGUCCACAAGAAGAAAUAGAAAGCUUGGGUAAAGUUAAUUACAUCUGUAAAUAUAAAGAAUAUAAAGGGUGGAUAGUAUACAUAUAUUUUGUUUAUUACUUUUUUCUUUUCCCAUGUGAUAUGAGCACAGCUUCAUAACAAAUUAACCAUAAAUAUGUUGAUGAUCUUAUAAUUUAUGAAGAUGCAAUCUGUUUGAAAAGAAUAGCAUAAAAAUGGGGCUGGAGGUACAUUAAAGUUUUAUAUAGCUUUGAACUUAAGUUGUUAAAUUGAGUCUAACCGUAUUAAAAUAAGUGCUAACUGUAACCCCAGGACACUCAAAAAGAAAAUAUCUCACAAAAUACAGUAAAUUAAACAAGAAGCAAAUUUAAAUGGUAUGCCAGAAAUACAUGUAUUUAAUAUUAAAGAAAUACCAGAAUAAGGGUAUAAGACAGAAAACAAAACUGCCAUAGCAAAUGUGAAUCAUAGCUUAUUAAUAACUACAGUGAAUGUAAAUGGAUAGUUUAAACACUCCAAAGGAAAUAAAAAUUGACACAAUGGAUUUUCAAAAAUCAUCCAACUAUACAUACAAGAAGCACACUUUAAGGACAAAUUGAUUUAAAGUUAAAAAAAAAAUUAAAUGUAAUACUGUACAAACAUCAAACCAAAGAAACAUAAGGUGCUAUAUUACUACAAAAAAAUAUUAAAAAAAAAAAGAUUUAAAAAAACUAAUAAAAUAGGAAGUUCCCUGGUGGCUCAGUGUGUUCAGGAUUUGGUGUUGUCACUGCAGUGGUGAGGGUUGCUGCUGUGGCAAGGGUUCAGUUCCUGGCCAGGAAACUUCCACAUGUCACAGGAUAAAAUUAAAUAAAGAAAAAAUACAUUUAAAAAACAAAAAUAAAACUAACGAAACAGAGUUUAAGACAUACUGUUACUAGAGAUAAAGAAGAGUUUUUUAAUAAUGAUAAAGGAUCAGUCUACUAGGUAGACAUAGCAAUUGCAUGAUCCUAAAUGCAGAAUUAAAUUUGGUUCGGCUGAACUACUGCUACUUUUCUUCAGUAGUCCUAAAAUUUAAAUCUAAUACCUUGUUAAAACACAGUGUGUUCUGUAGAGCGAAUGGGACUCAGUUGCCUUGCAUGUUAACAGUGGAAAGAACUGUUUUAGUAUUUAUUGUCUCCAAGUCCUGUUUCUGCAAAGGUAAGUUACAUGGUCAUUAAAAUCAAUUUCUUUCAUCCACAUCUGCUUAGCAAAACUUUACCUUCUACAGCCCAAAGUCAAGCUUAUUCAACUUGUAACUACAACCAAAACAAAAGUAUAUAUUUUCUCUAAACUGCAGUGUACAUUAAGCUAGCUAAACGCCCUUGAAGCUCAUACUUUUACGUGGCCCUACCUCUGAUGGGGGGGGCCUCUGCCUUUGAUUUUGCUAAUAAGGUCAAUGUGCCUUUGCUAAAGUCCUGCAGUUUUAUCAAGAACUGCACAUUUGUGUAAGACUUAGGGCUAACUUUUACAACUCCGCUCUAAGAAAUGAUCAUUGGACAUUUGACAAAGCUUUAUAUGCUACAGUGACUGACGGAUAGGAUUCCCUUUGGCUUUCAUUAAGUUCCAAAGCUACUCAUUCAGGUGAAAAAGUAACAAGUAAGGUAUUUUACUAAGGUGUUCUUCGGCUUUGUGAUUUUGUCAUGUUCCCAUCAAAAAGUAGAGUCAUUCUUGUAUCUUGAAUCUGAUCAGUCCCAAUGACUCCUUGAACCGAAAAGCAAAACAACACAAAAAACAUGCUAAUGGCAAGGUCUGGAGCCUUCUGAAGCUAUGUUAUAAGAAUCUUUGUAGCUUUCACCUCAAACUCUUCAAAUACUCUCUGUUGGAAACCAGUCACCAUUUUAAAAGUGUACUUAAUUUGAGACCCUCAUACUGUGAUAACAUAAAGCCUGGAGGAUUAAAAACCAUGUGGAGACAGAAGAAGGCCAAGGAACAUGGAGGCAUCUCGCAAGUAUGUGAAGGUGCCAUCUUGGAAGUGGAUGUUCAAGACCCAAUAGUCCCACAUGAUGCUACAAGGACACACUGUAUAAAGUUUAGGGAUAGUCUGCUAUGCAGCAGUAGAUAAGAAGUGAACCACCAGUAUAACUACAAAAUCACUCCCCAAAAUUUACCAUAAUAUCACAGCACAGUAACAAAAGCCAAAUGCCUUGACCCAUCAAAAUCCUAGUGUUACUAUUUCUCUGAAAAUAUAUUCCCCAUUGAGAUUUCUGAGUAUCUUGCUCAAUAUAUAAGAUGUUGGAGCUUCUGAGCUCAAUAUCUCCCUGCAUUUUCUCCUUUCUCCCCCCAAGAUAAGACUUGAUGCUCUGAAAUUUAUGGCAUGGUGGAGCACACACAUUCUUUGCAAAUCAUACAUCAUGAAGAGAGGGAAAGGAGAGGA
rnacentral:lncRNA from 1 species